rnacentral:rRNA from 1 species
AGAUUGAACGCUGGCGGCAUGCCUAACACAUGCAAGCCGAACGGGAGUAGCAAUACUCUAGUGGCGGACGGGUGAGGAAUACGUAGGAAUUUGCCCUUAAGUGGGGGAUAACCCGGGGAAACCCGGAUUAAUACCGCAUGACCUCGAAAGAGCAAAGUGGGGGAUCGCAAGACCUCACGCUUUUGGAGAAGCCUACGUCGGAUUAGCUAGUUGGUGAGGUAAUGGCUCACCAAGGCGACGAUCCGUAACUGGUCUGAGAGGAUGAUCAGUCACACCGGAACUGAGACACGGUCCGGACUCCUACGGGAGGCAGCAGUGGGGAAUAUUGGACAAUGGGCGCAAGCCUGAUCCAGCAAUGCCGCGUGUGUGAAGAAGGCCUUCGGGUUGUAAAGGUCAACUUUAAAGGUUGGGUAAAGAAAAAACGUACGACGUCCUAACACAGUGAGUCUUGACGGUACGACAGAAUAAGCACCGGCUAACUCUGUGCCAAGCAGCCGC